AUGCCCUGCAUUGGAUCCAUGAGCUGGGAUGCUUACUUGCCCAGUCUGGAAAAUGCAAGACCACUUUCAAAGACAUUGCCAUGUCCACCACAGGCUCCUUCACCUCCAUCAAGCCUCUGUGUGCCACCAGAUGGACUGCGUGCUCCAGCCAUCAGAGCAGUCCUCAGCCAGUACAACGCCAUCUUGAGUGCGCUGGAGGAGAUGGCCUCCGCUGCAAAGGUCAACGACAACACUGCCUCUAGAGCACAUGGUGUUCUUCAGAAGCUGGAAGCUGGAAACACCGUUCUUGGCCUUCUCCUGGGUCAAGAAGUCAUCACAAGGUUGGAGGGGCUGAACUCAAGUCUGCAGGCAAGAGGGAAGACCAUCAGUGGAAUGCUGAAAGCCGUUGAAUAUGUUAGGCAGGGCUUUCUCUCUUUGAGGGCCGAUGCUGCGUUCAAGGCCAUCUAUGACAAAGCUGUGGAUUUUGCCGCAGACUUGGAUCUCCAGCAAAUACAGUUGCCUCAUGUCCGAAUGCCAUCCAGGAAACAUGGUGGUCCUGCCAAGCAUCAUACUCCUGCGACACCAGAGGAGUAUUUCCGGGUCCAGUUUUUCAGUGCCAUUGACAUGGCGACCACCCAGCUUCAUGAGCGUUUUGAUCAGGUGAGCCUGGGAAAUCUGGUCAAGCUGGAGGAGCUGCUGAUUACCGGAAACAAAAAUAUGGUGGUGAGCUUGUACCCAGAACUGGACCUACAGGCACUACAAAUUCAAUUGGCCAUGUUUAAAGCAAAUAACACCUACACUUCAUGCAAAGAAGCUGUCCAAAUUCUCAGAGGCAUGCCACCAGAGGUCAGAGGGCUCUUCUCACAGGUGGAGACUCUGGUGAGACUGCUACUCGUGGUCCCAGUUUCAUCCUGUGAGGCAGAAAGGAGCUUCAGUGCUCUGCGACGGCUGAAGAAUUGGCUGAGGACAACAAUGACCCAGUUGAGGCUCAACAGCACUGCAGUCUGCCAUAUCCACAGGGAUACACUGAAGGCCUUGGACAAAAGGGAAAUAGCGACAGCUUUCAUUGGCACAUCUGAGAGGCGGGUGCAUGUUUUUGGCCAAUUUUAA
rnacentral:lncRNA from 1 species